UUCCGGUCCGCACUGGUGUGAUGGAUUCCUACCUUCUGAAUAACCAGCAUGCCAUUAAUUUGGUGCGUUGGGGAAGCAGGACUGUUACCUUGAAAAAAUUAGAGUGCUUAAAGCAGGCUAGUGCCUGAAUACAUUAGCAUGGAAUAAUGAAAUAGGACGGCAUGGUUCUAUUUUGUUGGUUUCUAGGAUCACCGUAAUGAUUAAUAGGGAUAGUUGGGGGCAUUAGUAUUCAAUUGUCAGAGGUGAAAUUCUUGGAUUUAUUGAAGACUAACUUCUGCGAAAGCAUUUGCCAAGGAUGUUUUCAUUAAUCAAGAACGAAAGUUAGGGGAUCGAAGACGAUCAGAUACCGUCGUAGUCUUAACCAUAAACUAUGCCGACUAGGGAUCGGACGAUGUUAAUUUUUUAAUGACUCGUUCGGCGCCUUACG
rnacentral:rRNA from 1 species